GAUGAACGCUAGCUACAGGCUUAACACAUGCAAGUCGAGGGGAAACGACAUCGAAAGCUUGCUUUUGAUGGGCGUCGACCGGCGCACGGGUGAGUAACGCGUAUCCAACCUGCACACCACUUGGGGAUAACCUUGCGAAAGUAAGACUAAUACCCAAUGAUAUCUCUAGAAGACAUCUGAAAGAGAUUAAAGAUUUAUCGGUGAUGGAUGGGGAUGCGUCUGAUUAGCUUGUUGGCGGGGUAACGGCCCACCAAGGCAACGAUCAGUAGGGGUUCUGAGAGGAAGGCCCACCACAUUUGAACUACGACACAGUCCAAACUCCUACGGGAGGCAGCAGUGAGGAAUACUGGGCAAUGGACGAGAGUCUGAACCAGCCAAGUAGCGGACAGGAAGACGGCCCUAUGGGUUGUAAACUGCUUUUAUAAGAGAAUAAAGUGAGUCUCGUGAGACUUUUUGCAUGUACCUUAUGAAUAAGCACCGGCUAAUUCCGUG
rnacentral:rRNA from 1 species